AGGAUGCGAGCGUUAUCCGGAUUUAUUGGGUUUAAAGGGAGCGUAGACGGAUGUGCAAGUCUGAAGUGAAAGCCCGGGGCUCAACCCCGGGACUGCUUUGGAAACUGUGUAUCUAGAGUGCCGGAGAGGUAAGCGGAAUUCCCAGUGUAGCGGUGAAAUGCGUAGAUAUUGGGAGGAACACCAGUGGCGAAGGCGGCUUACUGGACGGUAACUGACGUUGAGGCUCGAAAGCGUGGGGAGCAAA
rnacentral:rRNA from 1 species